UUAUGAGAGUUUGAUCCUGGCUCAGGACGAACGCUGGCGGCGUGCCUAAUACAUGCAAGUCGAACGCUUCUUUUUCCACCGGAGCUUGCUCCACCGGAAAAAGAGGAGUGGCGAACGGGUGAGUAACACGUGGGUAACCUGCCCAUCAGAAGGGGAUAACACUUGGAAACAGGUGCUAAUACCGUAUAACAAUCAAAACCGCAUGGUUUUGAUUUGAAAGGCGCUUUCGGGUGUCGCUGAUGGAUGGACCCGCGGUGCAUUAGCUAGUUGGUGAGGUAACGGCUCACCAAGGCCACGAUGCAUAGCCGACCUGAGAGGGUGAUCGGCCACAUUGGGACUGAGACACGGCCCAAACUCCUACGGGAGGCAGCAGUAGGGAAUCUUCGGCAAUGGACGAAAGUCUGACCGAGCAACGCCGCGUGAGUGAAGAAGGUUUUCGGAUCGUAAAACUCUGUUGUUAGAGAAGAACAAGGAUGAGAGUAACUGUUCAUCCCUUGACGGUAUCUAACCAGAAAGCCACGGCUAACUACGUGCCAGCAGCCGCGGUAAUACGUAGGUGGCAAGCGUUGUCCGGAUUUAUUGGGCGUAAAGCGAGCGCAGGCGGUUUCUUAAGUCUGAUGUGGAAGCCCCCGGCUCAACCGGGGAGGGUCAUUGGAAACUGGGAGACUUGAGUGCAGAAGAGGAGAGUGGAAUUCCAUGUGUAGCGGUGAAAUGCGUAGAUAUAUGGAGGAACACCAGUGGCGAAGGCGGCUCUCUGGUCUGUAACUGACGCUGAGGCUCGAAAGCGUGGGGAGCAAACAGGAUUAGAUACCCUGGUAGUCCACGCCGUAAACGAUGAGUGCUAAGUGUUGGAGGGUUUCCGCCCUUCAGUGCUGCAGCUAACGCAUUAAGCACUCCGCCUGGGGAGUACGACCGCAAGGUUGAAACUCAAAGGAAUUGACGGGGGCCCGCACAAGCGGUGGAGCAUGUGGUUUAAUUCGAAGCAACGCGAAGAACCUUACCAGGUCUUGACAUCCGGAAGUACAACGAGUUGCGAAGUCGCGAGGCUAAGCUAAUCUCUUAAAGCGUGCAUGGUUGUCGUCAGCUCGUGUCGUGAGAUGUUGGGUUAAGUCCCGCAACGAGCGCAACCCUUAUUGUUAGUUGCCAUCAUUCAGUUGGGCACUCUAGCAAGACUGCCGGUGACAAACCGGAGGAAGGUGGGGAUGACGUCAAAUCAUCAUGCCCCUUAUGACCUGGGCUACACACGUGCUACAAUGGGAAGUACAACGAGUUGCGAAGUCGCGAGGCUAAGCUAAUCUCUUAAAGCUUCUCUCAGUUCGGAUUGCAGGCUGCAACUCGCCUGCAUGAAGCCGGAAUCGCUAGUAAUCGCGGAUCAGCACGCCGCGGUGAAUACGUUCCCGGGCCUUGUACACACCGCCCGUCACACCACGAGAGUUUGUAACACCCGAAGUCGGUGAGGUAACCUUUUGGAGCCAGCCGCCUAAGGUGGGAUAGAUGAUUGGGGUGAAGUCGUAACAAGGUAGCCGUAUCGGAAGGUGCGGCUGGAUCACCUCCUUU
rnacentral:rRNA from 1 species